CGGUGACACACACGUGAGGUCGAAACGGCCGAGCACUAUACCAACUCAAACGAGUGAACACGCGCGCACUGCACACGGCGUGUAAGAGAAAAAAAACCAAAACGUGGUUGACGGACGGAUCCGGACGUUACAACGAUACCGGUGGCGCGGGUGCUAAGAAAAAAUAUCGACCGGCCAAGCACGGACGUGCGUGGUGAACUGGUUGACGGCGGUCGGCGAUAGCCCGCGGCUGGAAGCGCGUCGUAUAUGCGAACAUAGACGGGGGGGAGGGGGACGGGGUACAACUUCGCGACCGUUCGACAUCCGACGCGCCAUACGGCGGAGCAACGGCGAUGUCGCACAAACAGGUAAUUACUCGGAGGUGAGCUGGGGUAAUUUAUUUGAUUAAACCCGGUUAAAAUCAAGAUUAAUCAUCAUGACAACAUCUUAUUAUGCACUAACAACAAGAAUGAUAAUACUAUUAAAAAUGAAAUACUACCAAGUACUCCAAUACAAAGCACCGGAACGUACGACGUGUCCGCACCUGCAUUUCAUCAACCACCACUGCGGGACGUAAAUGACGUGUCUCAGCUGACUCCCACAAAGGCGUUUAGUAAGAUACUAAGAUGGGAAGGUAAAUCUAAACCGUACGAACACCAGCCUCUAGAGAUUAAACAUCUUUUUUCUGACCAUCUUUGUGACAAGACGCAUACCGUUUUUCAUUUAUUGUCAUUCUACACCAAUGCCACCAAUGACCAUACCACACCGAUACCGCCAACAACCAUUCUACAGUACACCAGCCACGGCCAAUACACAUCCACUACACCGUCACUAUAACUAUCAAGACCUGGCCAACCAUCCGUCCACCAGGUCCGCGACAAUUGGGCAUUACCGGAGUUGUAAUUAACUGAUAGACUGAAUCCUCAGCGGAGAGCCAAUUUGACGCGGAUCUGGCGGAGGUUGAUUUUAGAUCGACCUCACGGGUGGGUGGUCGGUGUCUAUUGAGCUGUAACCGUUGUC